rnacentral:rRNA from 1 species
GACGAACGCUGGCGGCGGGCUUAACACAUGCAAGUCGAACGGAAAGGCCCUGCUUUUGGGGGGUGCUCGAGUGGCGAACGGGUGAGUAACACGUGAGUAACCUGCCCUUGACUUUGGGAUAACUUCAGGAAACUGGGUCUAAUACCGGAUAGGAGCUCCUGCUGCAUGGAGGGGGUUGGAAAGUUUCGGCGGGUGGGGAUGGUCUCGCGGCUUAUCAGCCCGUUGGUGGGGUAGUGGCUUACCAAGGCUUUGACGGGUAGCCGGCCUGAGAGGGUGACCGGCCACAUUGGGACUGAGAUACGGCCCAGACUCCUACGGGAGGCAGCAGUGGCGAAUCUUGCACAAUGGGCGGAAGCCUGAUGAAGAAACGCCGCGUGCGGGAUGACGGCCUUCGGGUUGUAAACCGCUUUCGCCUGUGACGAAGCGUGAGUGACGGUACUGGGUAAAGAAGCACCGGCUAACUACGUG